UGGGGAAUAUUGGACAAUGGGCGCAAGCCUGAUCCAGCCAUGCCGCGUGAGUGAUGAAGGCCCUAGGGUUGUAAAGCUCUUUCACCGGUGAAGAUAAUGACGGUAACCGGAGAAGAAGCCCCGGCUAACUUCGUGCCAGCAGCCGCGGUAAUACGAAGGGGGCUAGCGUUGUUCGGAUUUACUGGGCGUAAAGCGCACGUAGGCGGACUUUUAAGUCAGGGGUGAAAUCCCGGGGCUCAACCCCGGAACUGCCUUUGAUACUGGUAGUCUUGAGUUCGAGAGAGGUGAGUGGAAUUCCGAGUGUAGAGGUGAAAUUAGUAGAAAUUCGGAGGAACACCAGUGGCGAAGGCGGCUCACUGGCUGGAUACUGACGCUGAGGUGCGAAAGCGUGGGGAGCAAACAGG
rnacentral:rRNA from 1 species